rnacentral:rRNA from 1 species
AGUGAACGCUGGCGGUAGGCCUAACACAUGCAAGUCGAACGGCCGCACAGUAAGAGCUUGCUCUUACGGGUGGCGAGUGGCGGACGGGUGAGGAAUACAUCGGAAUCUACUUUUUCGUGGGGGAUAACGUAGGGACACUUACGCUACUACCGCAUACGACCUACGGGUGAAAGCAGGGGAUCUUCGGACCUUGCGCGAUUGAAUGAGCCGAUGUCGGAUUAGCUAGUUGGCGGGGUAAAGGCCCACCAAGGCGACGAUCCGUAGCUGGUCUGAGAGGAUGAUCAGCCACACUGGAACUGAGACACGGUCCAGACUCCUACGGGAGGCAGCAGUGGGGAAUAUUGGACAAUGGGCGCAAGCCUGAUCCAGCCAUACCGCGUGAGUGAAGAAGGCCUUCGGGUUGUAAAGCCCUUUUGUUGGGAAAGAAAAGCAGCAGGUUAAUACCCCGCUGUUCUGACGGUACCCAAAGAAUAAGCACCGGCUAACUUCGUG